rnacentral:lncRNA from 1 species
CUUUUUUUCUUUUCUUUUUUUUUUUUUUUUUUAAGGGCUGCUCUAGUGGCAUAUGGAGGUUCCCAGGCUAGGGGUUAAAUUGGAGCUGCAGCUGCUGGCCUACGCCACAGCCACAGCCACAGCAAUGCCAUAUCCCAGACACAUCUGUGACCUACACCACUAGCUCAUAGUAAUGCCAGAUCCUUAACUCACAGAGCGAGGCCAGGGAUUGAACCCACAACCUCAUGGUUCCUAGUCAGAUUCGUUUCUGCUGCGCCACGAUGGGAACUCCAUAAACCUUUUGUUUUCUUGUUCUCAGUCAAGCCACAUCAUCCCAGUCCUAUAGUUGUGUGUGAAUCUUAGGGAGAUUUGGACCUACUAUUUCCACCUGGCUGGGUCUGGGCCAGCUUUCUGGCAAGAAAGAUGGCCUGGCUCUGGACUGGGUCUGACCCUUCACUGUGUGACCUUGGGCAAAUCACCCCUUUCUCAGCAGGCCAAAUAGCUAUGAAGCCAGGGGUCCUGGGUUAGAGUCUGGCUCAGCUUCUCACUUGUUACCUGACUUUGGACUAAGGAUUUCAUCUUCCUGAGCCUCAAUUUCCCCAUCUGUAAAGCAGUGCUCACCCCACUAGUGUCAGAACUAAAUGAAUACUGGAUAUAAAAUCUGCAGGCCUGUGGGGACUUGGGUUUCAGUUCCUUCCCCACUUGAAUGAUGUUUUUAAGUUUUAUUGAAGUACAGUUAAUUUACACGGCUUGAUGAUGUCUGCUGUCCCAGUUGAAUGAUUUUGAAUGACCUUGGACAAGUGGAGUCACCCCUCGAGAAUGAUGAUGGAUACAGAUCUUGCAUUCAGUCCAACAAACACUUUUCAGGAGCCCACUGUGGUCCGGCCCAUGUAGGAAGCUGGGCAGGUGUGCCAAGAGUAGGUCAUGGGCUCUGUUCCUGAUUUCGAGCCUGAUGGUGAAUCUGGACACAGAGCAGGUUGUCGAGGUACCUCCUGAGGGACCCAGGAAGGCUCAGAAUCCAGCCCCGAACCCCUAGGUUUCCAGUCCUCAGUCAGGACCAAGAUCACCUAUAGCUGCGGAGUCGGGGUAGGUGGAUGGGGGUGGCCAGCUGGCCUGGGGAAGGCCGAGACUGCGCAGAUGCCCUCCACCCCUGGCCAUCCCUAGAAGUGGCCCUGGGGAAAAAAACGCCUCUCAUGCUUUUGAGAUUGUGUCCUCCUUUUUCUUUUUUCAUUGCAUCCAUCGUGUGUGGAAGUUCCCAGGCCAGGGAUUGAACUCAUGCCCCAGUUGCGACCUUCACCACAGCUGUGGCAACGCCAGAUCCUUAACCCGCUACGCCACAAAGGAACUUCCACAUAUUGUCUUUUUCUUGAGUAAGACCAUAGGGCAGAGAAUGUGUUGGGGUCUGGCCUGCUCACCUUCCCUCCCUCCCCCUCCCUCCCCCUUUUUCCUCCCUCCUUUCUGUGCACAGGCCAGGCACGUGCUCUCUCUCUCUCUCUCCCUCUCGUCCCUCCUCCUUCCUGGCCUCCCAUUCGCCCAGCUCCUUACACAUUUUUCCAAAGCAGCAACCCUGUGAGUUCCUUUGGGUCAGGUAGGUAAAAAUCAAGAAAAGAAGGAAAGAAAUGUCACCCCCAGUCCUGUUCCUCAGAGAGACACCUGAACAUGUAGGAUAGCCUUCUAGGUUUUCCUGUGUGCAUAUCUCAGUUGUGGUUUUUUCUUUUCUUUUUCUUUUUUUUUUUUUUUUUUUUUUUUUUGGUCUUUUUGCCAUUUCUAGGGGAGCGGCAUCUGGAGGUUCCCAGGCUAGGGGUCGAAUCGGAGCUGUAGUCCCCAGCCUACACCACAGCCACAGCAACCUGGGAUCCGAGCCGCGUCUGCAACCUACACCACAGCUCACGGCAACGCCAGAUUCUUAACCCACUGAGCAAGGCCAGGGAUCGAACCCACAACCUCAUGGUUCCUAGUCGGAUUCAUUAACCGCUGAGCCACAAUGGGAACUCCGCAUACC